UACGUAGGGUGCGAGCGUUGUCCGGAAUUACUGGGCGUAAAGAGCUCGUAGGUGGUUUGUCGCGUUGUUCGUGAAAACUCACAGCUUAACUGUGGGCGUGCGGGCGAUACGGGCAGACUGGAGUACUGCAGGGGAGACUGGAAUUCCUGGUGUAGCGGUGGAAUGCGCAGAUAGUCAGGAGGAACACCGGUGGCGAAGGCGGGUCUCUGGGCAGUAACUGACGCUGGAGGAGCG
rnacentral:rRNA from 1 species